rnacentral:misc_RNA from 1 species
UACUCUUUGUACGUACCACCUAUGGUCUGAGUCUAGACUCAGCCCUCGUGUAUUUCUAUUUUGAACUUUGUUGGUGUUCUUGUCGUCCUUUAGCAUAAUUCUGUUUUAAUUGAUAUAAGAAUUUUUGAAUUCAUUUUUUAAAUGUAAGACGGCUUGAAUGACAUUCUAAAUCAACUAUACGCAUGUUUCUGAGGCAUUUACAAGGGAAAAGGGCUUUGACAAGAGCAAUGAGUGUUAGUAGACAAGGAGGCAAUCACCUGGAGAAGACUGCCCACGAAGCAAGGCAGAAGCAAAAGGCAUCGGAAGCAGAAGUGGUUGAAGUUAACGAUAUGUCGCCAACAGUUAAGCGAAUUCUACUAAAUAUAGAUGACCCAGCAUUUAAUUUCAAAGCUGGCCAGUGGGUAGAUUUCUUCAUUCCAGGUGUUGAAAUAUUCACUGGCUUCUCCAUGUCUUCAUCACCUGAUCAUCUUCAGUCAGGCUACCUUGAGCUUGCUGUUCAGUUAAGUGACUAUCCUCCCACCCUCUGGGUUCAUGAAGAGUGCAAAGUUGGAAGUAAGGUAUCUCUUCGUGUCGGAGGAACGCAGAUGGUGUAUGACCCUCAACCAAAUGAUCCAAGUUACAAUAUUUUAUUAAUAGCUGGUGGCAUAGGCAUCAACCCACUUCUGUCGAUCUUGAGGCAUGCAGAGAGUACACAUAGGGCACACAAACCAUGGUUUACAGGCAGAUCCUUUAGGCUACUUUACAGUGCUUCAACACAGAAAGAAUUGAUUUUUCAUGACAAGAUACUUGCAAUUGUAAACACAUUUCCAUUGAGGUUUCAAAGUCAGUUCUUUGUCACUCAGGAAGAUGUGCCAAUAGAUGGUGUAUAUGCUAAAGCAACAAAACCGCUAUUUUAGAUGCUGUAAGCAGCAAUGACUUAGACCUGAAUUUAACAGACCCGGAGGUUUUGAAAGAUGUGAUUACGGAAUAUUUCAGCGCCAGAGAUGACGAUUUUGAUGACGAAGACAUUCAUGAUAACGAAAAUAAUGAUAGUGACUCGGACCGACCUCUAUGUGAUGAGACUGCCCAUACUCACCGAAGUUGCGCCUUCUGAAGAUAACAAAGAGAAUGUUGAAGAUUGGACAGUCAAGAUAAUGCUCCUGAGUUGCAGCAGAUUGAAGAAUUUAAAGGUUGCCGUUGUGCUCAAAAUAAAAAUAAAGACAACCCUUUGCACAGAAUGCAGGGCGCAAUUGUCAGAAUUGAAAACCGUUGAAAGGAAGAUGUUCGUUGUGGGUCAUGUAAGUGGUUCUAUACGACAAGGUGAAACGACUGAGUGAAGUAAGCGCAAAGACCAGAAAGACAAAAAAAAAAUAUUGUGUAUUAUACCAGAAACGGAAGAAAAGAUCACAAUUGAAGGAAAGAAUGUGUAUCGGCAGUUAUUUGAAUACAUACAUUGUAUAUUCAAUAAUCAGCUUUAAUAGUGGGAUUAUCAAACACUUCAAUCUUCAUGGUGCAACCCCACCGAAGAAGAUGUCUGAAGGACGGAAAUGUAACUAGAAUGCUCUCACUAGCUCAGAUGUCAAGCAUAUUGUCCAGUUUGUAGAAAGAUAUGGAGAACGGAAUGGUCUGGUUGUUCCUGGAAGAAUAGCGGGUAUGCAGAGCCAGCAAGAUCCAAGAGUAUGACUCCUUCCAUCUUCAGAGUCUAAAGCAUCAGGCUGCAGGGUUUACAACAAACAGAUGACAGAAGUCAACAGAUGUCGAGUCUU